AUCACUUCUACUACAUUGUUUAAAUUCAAAAUCCAAAAAGACAAAGGAGAGAGGACAGUGUUGGCCCCACUACUCGAAUUUCGGAAAACAAAUCAAUCUAUUUAUUUAUUUAAAAAAAAAAAAAUUACUUGGGAAAUGGCAUGGGUCGAAACUUCCAAUGACAGCCAACAUGUGCAAUCAUUAUUGAGAGAAUAUCCCAACAAUGUAUCCGAAUCAGUUAACAUUCCAACACGCCAACUAAAAUGGAGAACUACAAAAACUAUAAACAAUACAUAAGCAACACCAACUACUUUUUCUUCAUUUCUUGAUCCUCCGAAACCCAUUACAAUUUUUGCGAGGCUCUUGUUCGUCUUUCUAUAUCAAUUUCUUCAACUUUUAUAAAGGCACCACUAGGAUUUCCGUACCAACAAGAAAUUGCUCAUAACUCAGGCUAUGCACAUGCUCAUCUUCUGGGUGGUGAAGAAAUAGGUGGCGGCAAACAGGCAGGCCUUUUUGAGAAGCUUCCUGUUUUGAAAAUCACACACGGUGCCAGCUUUUUAACUUACUUCAUGGGUCCGGAAAACUGUCGUGAAUGCAUUUACUUCCAUCCACCGCAACAACAACUCUUCACUUCUCUGAUACUUCUUAAGAAAAGGCAAGUUUACAGCACAGU